rnacentral:sRNA from 1 species
AUGGCUGUCGUCAGCUCGUGUCGUGAGAUGUUGGGUUAAGUCCCGCAACGAGCGCAACCCUUGUCAUUAGUUGCUACAUUCAGUUGGGCACUCUAAUGAGACUGCCGGUGACAAACCGGAGGAAGGUGGGGAUGACGUCAAGUCCUCAUGGCCCUUAUGGGUAGGGCUUCACACGUAAUACAAUGGCGCGUACAGAGGGCUGCCAAGGAGCGAUCUGGAGCCAAUCCCGAAAAGCGCGUCGCAGUCCGGAUUGCAGUCUGCAACUCGACUGCAUGAAGUCGGAAUCGCUAGUAAUCGCGGAUCAGCAUGUCGCGGUGAAUACGUUCCCGGGUCUUGUACACACCGCCCGUCACACCAUGGGAGUGGGUUUCACCAGAAGCCGGUCGCCUAACCGCAAGGGGGGCGCCGACCACGGUGAGAUUCAUGACUGGGGUGAAGUCGUAACAAGGUAGCCGUAUCGGAAGGUGCGGCUGGAUCACCUCCUUUCUAAGACGCGCCUCUCCAGCGCCCACCAUCUAUCGGUUGUCCUUUUCGUGACCCAACGGGUCUGUAGCUCAGUUGGUUAGAGCACCGUCUUGAUAAGGCGGGGGUCGAUGGUUCGAGUCCAUCCAGACCCGCCAACCAAUCGAGACCCAUGCGGGAGAGCAAGGCAAGUCAGGCGGGGCCAUAGCUCAGCUGGGAGAGCGCCUGCUUUGCAAGCAGGAGGUCAUCGGUUCGAUCCCGAUUGGCUCCACCAGCAACGAGUGUGGUGAGGAACCAGCAGGCAGCUUUCGCUUUGGGUAGCGGGGAUGCCUGGUGUUUCUUCGGAAGCAUCGAUCGGCUGCUCUUUAACAAUCCGGGAUGGAAGGUAAAGUUGUUCUCGUCUUUGAGGGCGCGCGCGUGCGGUUUGCGUGUGCUGGAAGAGGCGAGGGCUAACUGGGUUAUGUAUUGCAUCGUGUCUUCACCGCGCAAGUGGUGGGGAUGCAAGCACAAGCGUGAGAAUUUCCUAUUUCUUUGAGAUGUCCUGGGGGACUUUGCCCUGGGAUGCUUUGCGCCUGUCAAAGGGGGCGAGGCGGCAAGGUUAUAGGGUCAAGCGAAUAAGUGCAUGUGGUGGAUGCCUUGGCGAUAACAGGCGAUGAAGGACGCGACAGCCUGCGAUAAGCUGCGGGGAGCCGGCAAAUGGGCUUUGAUCCGCAGAUUUCCGAAUGGGGAAACCCGG